rnacentral:rRNA from 1 species
CCUACGGGAGGCAGCAGUGAGGAAUAUUGGUCAAUGGACGGAAGUCUGAACCAGCCAAGCCGCGUGCAGGAAGACGGCCCUAUGAGUUGUAAACUGCUUUUGUACAAGGGUAAACCUGAACACGUGUAUUCAGCUGAAAGUACCUUACGAAUAAGCAUCGGCUAACUCCGUGCCAGCAGCCGCGGUAAUACGGAGGAUCCAAGCGUUAUCCGGAUUUAUUGGGUUUAAAGGGUGCGUAGGCGGGUUGAUAAGUUAGCGGUGAAAGUCCGGGGCUUAACUCGGGAACUGCCUCUAAUACUGGUGGUCUAGAGAGUAGAUGCGGAAGGCGGAAUUUAUGGUGUAGCGGUGAAAUGCUUAGAGAUCAUGCAGAACACCGAUUGCGAAGGCAGCUUACCAAGCUAUAACUGACGUUGAGGCACGAAAGCGUGGGGAGCAAACAGGAUUAGAUACCCUUGUAGUC